GGGGUAGUAAAGGUUUCGACAGGGGUUUUGAAGCUGGUGAAGCUAUUCGCAGGUGAUGCGUCAAAUCACAAAUCUAAAUAUAAACGCUAACGAAAAUUUAGCUUACGCUGCCUAAUGGCAGCAGUCUGACCUAGAGCACCUACACUUUAGGACCCAGGCUUCGACCAUGUAGGAAACGACUCAGUCAAAGCUUUGAGACUGUGGGCGUAUCAUGAAGCUACUGAAAGCAUGAGGAUGUUGAUUUUCUUAUGCCGGAGGGAAUGAGGGAAACCGAAGCAAUCAACUAUAAUAGUAGAAGAACAGUGAAUGGGCUUUUGGACACGGGUUCGACUCCCGUCUACUCCACUA
rfam:Eubacterium sp. CAG:86 genomic scaffold, scf300